rnacentral:rRNA from 1 species
GACGAACCGUGCGAACGUUGUUCGGAAUCACUGGGCGUAAAGGGCGCGUAGGUGGCCCGUUAAGUGGCUGGUGAAAUCCCGGGGCUCAACUCCGGGGCUGCCGGUCAGACUGGCGAGCUAGAGCACGGUAGGGGCAGAUGGAAUUCCCGGUGUAGCGGUGGAAUGCGUAGAUAUCGGGAAGAAUACCAGUGGCGAAGGCGUUCUGCUGGGCCGUUGCUGACACUGAGGCGCGACAGCGUGGGGAGCAAACAGG